UCAUCUUACGAAAUUCUUUUA
rnacentral:piRNA from 1 species